GACGAACCCGUGCGAACGUUGUUCGGAAUCACUGGGCUUAAAGGGCGCGUAGGCGGCUUGCCAAGUCAGGGGUGAAAUCUUUCGGCUCAACCGGAAAAGUGCCUCUGAUACUGGCAAGCUCGAGGGAGGUAGGGGCAGCUGGAACUUCCGGUGGAGCGGUGAAAUGCGUUGAUAUCGGAAGGAACGCCGGUGGCGAAAGCGAGCUGCUGGAUCUCUUCUGACGCUGAGGCGCGAAAGCCAGGGGAGCAAACGGGAUU
rnacentral:rRNA from 1 species